AUCCAUGUUCCUUCCCCUUGUCUUGAACUGGAUAAUAAUAGUAAUACAUGUUUUGUGGGGAUGAACCUGAGGUACCUGAUUGAUAGUUUUGACCUGAACUGGUGUUUGGAUGCUCAGCUGAAGUCCAGGGAAAAAAGUAAAGAAAGAAAAAAAUGAAAGAGAAGAAAAAAGAUGAAUUGAGAUGAAGCAAUAUAUAUAAUAAAAUGAGAAAGGGCUAGCCUAAAUUAUGAUUGAUAUUAAGGUUAAACUAUUGAUCAAGAAAUACGACAACACUUACCAGAAGGACUUGCACCUCCAAAUUCAUCGCGUUUUACUGCGGCAGGGGCAACAGUGGCCAACAUGGAAAUAACCAAAAGUAUCCGGAUUGUCGUCAUUAUGAGAGUAUUAUUUGAUAAAUUACGAUGUUUGACAAACAACAAAAAAAAGAGAGAGGACGAAGUGAUGUUUUGUGUUGCAAAAGUAAAGCACUACACUUUGAAUAAGCACAAGGAGACGGAGCAAAAUAAAGUGGCCGAACUAAACGCAGUUGGUAUCUACGUUUUUGAAAGUGGAAAUGGUUUUUGUGAAAAUUAAUGUGUUCCUCACUAUCUUCACUUGUGUUUAAUUUUGAUGUGCGGCAAGAGGAAGAAGAAAACUCAAGAAAUCAGAUCUCACCGGAGUUGAACAAGAAUUCACUGAAUCCGGUUGUUUACGAUUAAAUACCAAAAGCAAGGCAAAGGGCGUUUCUUACCUUUUCAUCUCUCACUCUCUUUCUCUCUCUUUCUCUCAUCUUCAUUAUCUUCAUUAUCAUCUCUCCUUUUUGCUAAAUAUAUAUAUAUAUGAGUGUGUAAUACACAUUCACAUCUUGUUUCUCUUUCUCCUCUUUCUUUUCUCAUCCUAACCUCUCUUGUCGAUUCACGGAUGUUACUGAGGAGGAGAGAGAUGUACAAGGAACCAAAAAAUACCCUUUCCAGGCCACUUUGCCUUGUCUCUCCCUUUUAACACAUCCACACAUCUCUUUCUUUCUUUUUGCUCUCCUUCAUCAUCGCCAUCAUCGCCAUCAUCAGCAUCAUCUUCAUCAGCAUCUAACUUAUUUCUCUUAUUUAUCUUCUUCCUUUUCAUUCUUUUCUUCAUGUCUAUGUAACAUUUCGCUUUGACGCCUUUAAUAACUGCUACAUACUUAUUAUUAUGAUUAUUAUUACAGUUAUCAUUAUUAUUACUAUUACACUUACAUAACAUUAGUAUUAUUAUAUUUUAUUAUCUUUUGAUUACAGAAAAUUCAAUUCUUCUCAAAUUCAUUGGAAGAAAAAACAAGGCCAGUUUUCUUUGAAUACAAAGGAAAAUAAAGGGAUAAUAGGGAAAUAGGGCUAAUAUUGAUUUCAAAAUUGAUGAAUCAACCAAAUGCACUUUUUUAAUCAAAAAGAAAAUUCCUUCAAUGUAAAUCUGUGUUCCAAUUUACAGCCAUUUGGUACUGUAAAUUGCAAUAAUAGUGUUGAGUGUCAUCAUUUGCCGCAUUUCAUUUAAAACACAUUUACGCUUUUCAUCGAGCAUUGGAUUCUGGUCAAUCUGUGGUGAAAGACAGUUCAUUUGGAUCAAUAGGAAUCAAUUUGGAGUUGAUAAUCUUGGUUAAAUUAAGAGAUUCUUGCAGAUGACAAUUGUUUGUGAUCAUCAGAUGAAGAUUGUUUAUAUUGAUACUUUGGAUGGCUGCUGCAUAACAUGUGAUUUUAAAACGCAUUUUGAGACACAAGAUCUAAUUUAAUAUCAAGUCUGAUUACGCUACUGGCUAGUAUACCGUUUAAUGGUCAUUCUGUCUCGAUGGAACUUUUCAAUGAACUAAUUUUCAACUUUGAUACCUUUUUUUUCUGCGUCACUAAACCAUCAUUUUGAUGCCAAUUUUGCUCUAAAAACACAACAUAUCUGAUUAAUAGUAUACAAAUAAUUUUAGUUUGCUGUCAUUUUCGGUGUCAACCAUAAUUAGUUUUUUUAAGUCAACAAGGAAUUACUGGCUCAUAGCAAGUGGUCGGUAUAAUGCGGAUGAUCAUAAUCUUAAAUAUAAUUAGCAAUUUAAAACUGCGUAUAUGGUCAGUUGGGAAAGAUUGGCUAGUUGGUCAAAAAUCAAAUAAUGGUUGCAGACAGUGGUAUGCAAUAAAUUGCACUGCUGGCUGAAUAAUCGAAAGUACCUUCAGUUACCAACAAGAUUUGGACUGAUCCAUGAUAUGAUGUGAUCAAGAUGAUUAACCAGGAGAGGAUGGAACCAGCAAAAGAAGAAGAAGAAGAAGAUAAUAAACACUAAAGAAGUUCCACUCUGAAGAUGAAACAUUCAAGUUCAAAAGACAACCAAUCCCCUUGAAGCCCCCUGGUAUCAUCAUGACACUUGUAGCGGAUAUACGGCAUCAUCUUCAUCAUUUUCAUCAUCAUCUUCUACAGCCUUGACCGAGACCCUUAAAAUGGGAUAAAAUUUUAUUAACUGUGGCCCGUUAGGCUUGUCCGAGUAAUAAGAAAGAGAUAGGAUGAUGAAGAUGAUGAUGAACCAAAGAAGAAAAGAAGAAGAAAAGGAACACAAAGUGAGUAAAGAAAGAAGGAGGAGGGAGGUGAAAAGGGGCUUCUUAUGUAUUUAUAUAUAUAUUUCUGUAUAAAUAUAUACGUCUUCCGCAUUCUGUAAUGGCCGAUGAACUGUUAAGAAAUAAUGUGGUUAAGGAUUUUUUACUCUCUCAGCGAACCUUGUAUUGGCUCUUUGCAAAUUGGGUCAACGAAGAAGAGAAAAAAAAUCAACUCUAAAUCCUCUCUCAUUGGAUUGAUUGAUAAUAUUUACGUCCACACGCACAUCUAAAUAAUAAUUGCAGCAAAUGAGAAUAAUAUUGCUAAUAAUAUGGCAGUGAAAAGGUUACUAAGUUUUAUCACUUCUAAUUGUAUGAUGGUCAGACAAUUCAUUUUGUUUGCUUGGUUGGUUAAUGGGUAAGAGGAUUUCGGUAAGUAGAUCAUUCAUUGGUUAUACUUUUUUAUCGGUAUGACUAUUUAAUUAGAGCUUACAACAAUUUCACGACAAAAGUUGCACACUUUCAAUGAGCAAGAAUCGUGAAUUCACAAUAUAACAAUAAUACUUAAUCGUCGUCUUUAUUGAUUCUCACUUUUCAAUAAUUUCGAUUUCUAGAUUGUCAAUUAACCUCUUU